UUUAUUGGAGAGUUUGAUCCUGGCUCAGGAUGAACGCUGGCGGCGUGCCUAAUACAUGCAAGUCGAGCGAAUG
rnacentral:rRNA from 1 species